AUACGUAGGUGGCGAGCGUUGUCCGGAAUUACUGGGCGUAAAGGGCGUGUAGGUGGUUUAGCAAGUCAGGUGUGAAAUACUAGGGCUUAACCCUAGUCAUGCAUUUGAAACUGUUAGACUUGAGGGCAAGAGAGGAAAGUGGAAUUCCUAGUGUAGCGGUGAAAUGCGUAGAUAUUAGGAGGAACACCAGUGGCGAAGGCGACUUUCUGGAUUGGCCCUGACACUGAGGCGCGAAAGCGUGGGUAGCAAACAGGAUUAGAUACCCUGGUAGUCCACGCUGUAAACGAUGGGUACUAGGUGUUGGAGGUAUCGACACUUUCAGUGCCGGAGCAAACGCAUUAAGUACCCCGCCUGGGGAGUACGGUCGCAAGACUGAA
rnacentral:rRNA from 1 species